AUCGCCGUCUUUUAAUUAAUCCCCGACGAGCUUUGAAUCUGCGGUGUUCCUGCUUCUUCAACAGCAUGGUGCUUGGGUGUGUUGGAUUGACUCUCUUCUGGGUGUGUUGGGUGUCUGAAUUCGAUUCAGGUGAGAAGAAGCUGUCAAAGGUGCUUCAAGUUCCCUUGUCCUUUGCAUGCGCUCGUGUAGGAGGGGCUAGCUUUGUGCUCCGCUUCAGUGGCGGUGGAUUGCGGGGGAGGGGAGGUUCUUUCUGCUUCGCGGAACUGGGAGCGAGAAUUCGAGUGGGGGUGUUGGGAGUGAAUUAGGGCUUCGGGGAGAGGAGGAUUUGGAUGUUGUGUUGUUCGGUCGCGUGCAGCUACAAGAAGACAUCCAAGAGAGCGUUGAGGGGGGACUCUGGGCUCGUGAUCAGGGGCAAAUCUUGCUGGGGCAAAUGCGGCUGAUUUGCUCUGCGAUUCUAUCUAGUUUCUGAGCUAGUUUCAGUGGCGAGACGAGGAAGAUUUUGAAUCUAGGUUGAAGAAGUAAGUGCUGUUAGAGGAAGCUUUCCGCGAACAAUCAUCACAGUAAAGCUUUUACGUUGUCCUUUUUAAGGGCUGAUCACGAGUAUUCUGGUGAAGGAUCAGCAUGUGAAACUAUUGCUGAGGGGGCGAAAAGGGAGCAACUGCUGGAAAUUGUUCAUUUAGACAGACUUUUUCAUGGGCAACUCUGGAUGAGCAGCUGACUGACUCAUCGAUGAACAAAAUUUGUUUAUACUUCAUUGAAACUGGGGGUCUACUAGUCUUUGUUGGAGAGUUCUACAGAAGAAUGAACAUAACCUAGAGCUUGCUUUUGUGGAAUUAGUGCUCUUGUUUGUCACAGUCAACAUUUGGGAUCUAAUGUUUUGAAUACUACAAUAAAGCUCCUCUGUGUAAUUAAGACAUCUCAAACCUUUUAAGAUCCGUGGCUUGGUUAUUUUGCGAA